CAAACAUCGCAGACACUGCCCGAGAAGGAACUGCUCUUAAAAAUCAUGGUCCACCAGAGGUAAUUAAUUCUACGUGAGGUGACAGGGCAAGGCCUUGGUAAGGGAACAUCAGCCUUCCUGGAACCAGACUUUUCUUCGUGGAACUGAAUUCUGAGCCAAGCCAGUGCUGAAAAGGCUAAAAGUCCCGGGAAGUUUUUUCUGGGCUAUAUGACUCCCUGCGUGGGCGAAAGAAACAGGCGGUUGCUCUAAUUCGGCUGCCGGGCAAGUGUAAAAGCCAACUGCCAGCUUUCAACGCGGCUCCGGGAGGAAAUUUACGCGCACAUGAAGAAAACACCACCCCCGGUCUUUUUUGGUCUUUCUUUUUAAGGAAAAAUA